UGUUAGAUAAGGUAAUCUAUUUUGUGGAUUCUUCUAAAAUAAGGACCUCAUCCAUAGAG
rnacentral:pre_miRNA from 1 species